rnacentral:rRNA from 1 species
UACGUAGGGGGCAAGCGUUGUCCGGAAUCAUUGGGCGUAAAGCGCGCGCAGGCGGUCCCUUAAGUCUGAUGUGAAAGCCCACGGCUCAACCGUGGAGGGCCAUUGGAAACUGGGGGACUUGAGUGCAGGAGAGGAGAGUGGAAUUCCUGGUGUAGCGGUGAAAUGCGUAGAGAUCAGGAGGAACACCGAUGGCGAAGGCAGCUCUCUGGCCUGUAACUGACGCUGAGGCGCGAAAGCGUGGGGAGCAAACAGG